UCAACGACUGCCAUGUGGAAGUGUAAGCCAAGCAAACCCUUCUUCCCAACUUGCUUUGGUCAUGGUGUUUCCUCACAGCAACUGAAACCCUAAGACAGCCUCAGUCAGUCUUCUGGAAAUCCAAACUCUCCCUCUAACUUCUGUCUGCACAGGCGUUGUAUGCAGGGGCUCACAUUCAGUUAUGACUGCUCUCUUCCCGUGAUAUCUUCAGGCAACGCAGAGGUGAAAAUCCCCACAGAAAGUCUUGGGAAGACAGGAGUGGCAGCAAGUGACACAAACACUGGCCAAGGAGCUUCUGCCUUAAGUAUCCUUCACUCGUCUCUCCCCCGCUCCCCAGUCUUAAGACUUUCUACUUCCUGCCCUAGUUUCAACUAUGCCCCAUCUUUCUUGCUUGUUUCUUAUUGAGUGUCAAGUUCUCUUUCCAUACCUGUUUAGAAAAAGCACCCCAGUUGCAGGGGAAGAGCCUUGGCUCUUCGGAAGACAAGGCUCCUAUGAAUGACUCUCAGACCUUUGGGGUGCAGCCUCCAACUUGGCCCAUGUGAUGCAGGAUUUCUGCCUUGAAAAAUACCUGUGGCUGGCAAUGCAGGAUUUAGUAAGAGAAGAUGCUGAGCCACCUGCCAUCUUUCCAAGAUCCAAUGGUCUUGGAGGAGUUCAAGGCUGACACUGGCAGACACCAAACUCAGCCUGGAUGUUCAGAGGAUGAAGGGAAAGAACAGGAGGUUGAUCAACUGCCUUUCCCUGCAGCUCUCCCUGGAUCCAUUGUCUUGAAGAUGCAGUUCUUUUCAAGUCUUAAUCCACUUGUCAAGACUGCAAGCUCUGAGUAAAACACAACUUUCUAGAUUCAA